CAGAUAUAUGGCGUGAGUUGAAGCUGUGGACAGUAUCUGAGCCUUGGUGUCAAAGGAUAGGAAGCUUAAUGAACAACUGGCUACAUAUAACCCUUACAACUGUAUUCCUAGUCGGAACAGUGUUCGAGUACACUGUCACAGGAAGGCGCACGCUCAAGAAUGAAUGUCUGUGUAACCCACGCACGGAAACAUAUUUGUACAAGAAAAUUAUAAACUAUACGAAAACACAGCCGCCCAUUCUUAUAUUCACAAUACCGAAAGUGAAGAACCGUUUUGAUCCUGUUUGGAAGGACGCCCUGAAAGAUGUCCCUAAAACAGAUCCCUGGAUUGCUGAGCUCUCCUGGAGUAGGAAGAACAGGAUCCUCAAGGACGAGAGACAUCCCUGUGCAACGUCAAUAAUGAUGAACGUUGACAAUUUGAGAUUUCCGGGAACUAUAAACUUUGUUCAAUGUCGUAAAACCAGGUCAGGAAGUGCCGGUACGUGUGUGGAUGUGAGUGAACCAGUUGUUGUUCUGAGAAUUAGGAACCCAAGACAGAAGGGACGUAAGUGUCGAUAUGUGGCUACCAUUGAAUCGAGGGUAGUAGGAUGUUCUUGGGUACCAGAUAAACACCAAAAAGGAAAUGCAUAUAAACACACGAAUGAAUGAAAGCAUUUGGCAGUUAAUGGAGAAGGAGGAUGACUGAUAACAUUUUCAAGAAGUGAAUGGUAUAACGCGUGUGCCUGAAUUCGACAGGAAUGUGUUUGUGGUUGUAUUGCGUGUUUAGUCUGGGAAAUGGCAUGAAUUGUUGACACUGAUUAUGUUUUCCAUUUCAUAAGACUGCUCCUGUGAUAGUAUGAUAGCACUGAAAACAUUCUGAACGACCAACAUGACUAAUUGGAUGGAAAAGCCAGUGCAUAGAAUAUUGUCACCGCUGGACCUUUCCACGACAAGUUUGAAAGCAAGGAUGAAAUAUCAAUACAGUGACCUCUGGAUAAAUUGAACAAGCUUUAGGGCUACUAGCUUCCUGGUGUUGUCUGACUAACCAUUAGAUUACGAAAAAUCACAACAUAUAUGACAUAUAAGUGAGUAAUAUGAGUACAAUCACUGUGUCCAUCCCUACAGGACUGUACCAUUAGUAUACAUGCCUAUUGACGACAUCAACUCGGGGGAUUCUUCAUUCUUCCCAAAAUGCGCUAUGACGUUGUGCUAUAAAUAGCUGUGAAAACCCGGUUUAAUAUUUACAGAAACACAUAAGAUCAUGAUCACGUUUUAUCAUGAUCGGAAUGUUUAUGCCUGGUUUCUGUGUUACCAAAGAACGAUUUUCUAACUUUGUUUGUUGUAUCUGACUUUCUGCUAUUAAUGUUUCCAAAUCAGGUAACACUUUACAAAGGAACAAACGCAACAGUGAAGCUAUGCAUAGAAUGAUGUUAUGCUUGACUGCCGUUCUGUGAUACAUUGUAACAUAUGUUACAGUUGGGAUUACAUUUGCCCAGUGAGGU